GGGGGUGUAAUUGGUUUCGACAGUUAAUUAGAAAUAUAAGUAGCGAGUUGUGGAAGCUUGCAGUCCACAUAAAAAAUGUAAGCAAUCAAAAUAAACGCUGAUAAUAGAGAAUUAGCAUACGCUGCCUAAGCAGUGUCGUUCUACCUAUAGUGCCUACGCUUUAGGAUAGGGCGUAUAAUAGUAGGAAACGAAGCUAUUUUUUCUUCGGAAAUAGUGGGUAAAUAGAAGAUACUAAAAGUAAUAGCCUGUUUGCUGGCGAUUACCAGAGGGAAUAUAAAAAAACAAACUGCACUCGGAGAAGCUUAUAUUGAAAAUUAAUUGGACAGGAGUUCGACUCUCCUCACCUCCACCA
rnacentral:tmRNA from 1 species